UACGUAGGUGGCAAGCGUUUGUCCGGAUUUACUGGGCGUAAAGAGCGCGCAGGCGGUCGUUCAAGUCGCGUGUGAAAGCCCCCCGGCUCAACUGGGGAGGGUCACGCGAUACUGAUCGACUCGAAGGCAGGAGAGGGUAGUGGAAAUUCCCCGGUGUAGUGGUGAAAUGCGUAGAUAUCGGGAGGAACACCAGUGGCGAAGGCGACUACCUGGCCUGUUCUUGACGCUGAGGCGCGAAAGCUAGGGGAGCAAACGGGG
rnacentral:rRNA from 1 species